rfam:Salmo salar isolate Sally breed double haploid chromosome ssa03, whole genome shotgun sequence.
GUGUGGUAUAUUUGUAAGUCGCUCUGGAUAAGAACGUCUGCUAAAUGACGUAAA